GGUCUAAUAGUGUAGCGGUUAUCACAGUGGAUUUUGAUUACAUCACCCUCGUGGUGCUUACACCUUCCAUUAACCCAGGUUCGAUUCCUGGUUAGACCU